GGGUCCAAUUUCUUUGGAACAAGAUGUCAUGGAGGGUGAGAACCCCGUCUGUGGCUCGGAUACCAUUGUCCUUGUGUCGUAUCUUCGAAGAGUCGGGUUGUUUGGGAAUGCAGCUCAAAAUGGGUGGUAAAUUUCAUCUAAGGCUAAAUAUUGGCGAGAGACCGAUAGCAAACAAGUAGAGUGAUCGAAAGAUGAAAAGUACUUUGAAAAGAGAGUGAAACAGUACGUGAAAUUGUUGAAAGGGAAGCGUUUGGCAUCAGCCCAUGGCACCCGUCGAUCAUCCAGGCUUCUGUCUGGUGCACUUGUCGGGUGUCGGGCCAGCGUCGACUUUGCCUGCUGGAUAAAGGCCUUGGGUAUGUGUCUCCCCUGGGAGAGUUACAGCCCUUGGUGUCAUGCAGUGUGGUGGGGUCGUGGUCCGCGGUUUAUCCUAGGACGCUGGCGUAAUGGUUCCAAGCGACCCGUCUUGAAACACGGACCAAGGAGUCUAACAUCUAUGCGAGUGUUUGGGUGUCAAGCCCGUCCGCGC
rnacentral:rRNA from 1 species